AAAUGCAGGAGAAGGAUGUUGAGGCAAUCAAACAAAAUCUCCUUCAAGGCUAUGAGAAUAGCUUUUGGACUUGCAGUGCUUCCAAACUUGAGUAUUCUGGUACCGCAAUUAUUUCACAGAUAGAGCCACGAUGGUGAAGGAAGGCUUGUUACUAUGGAGUUUGAUAUAUAUUAUCUGUGAAGAUGUAGAGAGAGACAGAGGCGUAGAAUGGGAACCCUCAAACUUAGGGUUUAUUUCUCAUACGUUAAAGUUAUAUACAAGAGAAGAAGGUAAUUACACUAAGACCCUUCUCUCACCACUAAUUAUACAUUACACCCAUAUCUUAACACUCCCCCUCAAGUUGGUGCGAAGAUAUCAAUCAAGUCCAACUUGAACACAAUGGGGUGGAAACUCUUGCUACCAAGCCCUUUUGUGAAUAUGUCAGCUAGUUGAUCUUCCGAUCUCACAAAUGGCAUACAUAUCAAACCAUUACUCAGCUUUUCCUUGAUG